rnacentral:tRNA from 1 species
GUUUUAGUAGCUUAGACAAAGCACUGGUCUUGUAAGCCAAAGUCGGGACAACCACAAAUCCCCUAAAACA